GGACCCGCACAAGUAGUGGAGCAUGUGGUUUAAUUCGAAGAUACGCGCAGAACCUUACCAACACUUGACAUGUUCGUCGCGACUUUAAGAGAUUAAAGUUUUCGGUUCGGCCGGACGAAACACAGGUGCUGCAUGGCUGUCGUCAGCUCGUGUCGUGAGAUGUUGGUUAAGUCCCGCAACGAGCGCAACCCUCACUUUUAGUUGCCAUCAUUUAGUUGGGCACUCUGAAAGAACUGCCAGUGAUAAGCUGGAGGAAGGUGGGGAUGACGUCAAGUCCUCAUGGCCCUUACGUGUUGGGCUACACACGUGCUACAAUGGUGGGGACAACGAGUCGCGAACCCGCGAGGGUAAGCU
rnacentral:rRNA from 1 species